rnacentral:rRNA from 1 species
UACGUAUGGUGCAAGCGUUAUCCGGAUUUACUGGGUGUAAAGGGAGCGCAGGCGGCACGGCAAGCCUGAUGUGAAAGCCCGCGGCCCAACCCCGGGACUGCUCUUGGAACUGCGUGGCUGGAGUGCAGGAGGGGCAGGCGGAAUUCCUGGUGUAGCGGUGAAAUGCGUAGAUAUCAGGAGGAACACCGGUGGCGAAGGCGGCCUGCUGGACUGCAACUGACGUUGAGGCCCGAAAGCGUGGGGAGCAAACAGG